UACGUAGGGGGCAAGCGUUGUCCGGAUUUACUGGGCGUAAAGAGCGUGUAGGCGGCCAAACAGGUCCGUUGUGAAAACUGGAGGCUUAACCUCCAGACGUCGACGGAAACCGUAUGGCUAGAGUCCGGAAGAGGAGAGUGGAAUUCCUGGUGUAGCGGUGAAAUGCGCAGAUAUCAGGAAGAACACCAAUGGCGAAGGCAGCUCUCUGGGACGGUACUGACGCUGAGACGCAAAAGCGUGGGGAGCGAACAGG
rnacentral:rRNA from 1 species